CAGUAGCCGCGGGAAUACGUAGGUGGCAAGCGUUGUCCGGAACUAUUGGGCGUAAAGGGCUCGCAGGCGGUUUCUUAAGUCUGAUGUGAAAGCCCCCGGCUCAACCGGGGAGGGUCAUUGGAAACUGGGAAACUUGAGUGCAGAAGAGGAGAGUGGAAUUCCACGUGUAGCGGUGAAAUGCGUAGAGAUGUGGAGGAACACCAGUGGCGAAGGCGACUCUCUGGUCUGUAACUGACGCUGAGGAGCGAAAGCGUGGGGAGCGAACAGGAUUAGAUACCCCAGUAGUCCCUGUCUCUUAUAC
rnacentral:rRNA from 1 species